rnacentral:rRNA from 1 species
AUGAACGCUGGCGGCGUGCUUAACACCUGCCAGUCGAACGGAAAGGCCAGUGCUUGCACUGGUGCUCGAGUGGCGAACGGGUGAGUAACACGUGGGUGAUCUGCCCUGCACUUUGGGAUAAGCCUGGGAAACUGGGUCUAAUACCAGAUAGGACCAUGCUUUGGAUGGUGUGGUGGAAAGUUUUUUCGGUGUGGGAUGAGCUUGCGGCCUAUCAGCUUGUUGGUGGGGUAAUGGCCUACCAAGGCGUCGACGGGUAGCCGGCCUGAGAGGGUGUACGGCCACAUUGGGACUGAGAUACGGCCCAGACUCCUACGGGAGGCAGCAGUGGGGAAUAUUGCACAAUGGGCGCAAGCCUGAUGCAGCGACGCCGCGUGGGGGAUGACGGCCUUCGGGUUGUAAACUCCUUUCGCAACUGACGAAGCUUUUUGUGACGGUAGGUUGAGAAGAAGCACCGGCUAACUACGUG